rnacentral:rRNA from 1 species
CAGUCGCCGCGGUAAUACGUAGGUGGCGAGCGUUGUCCGGAAUUAUUGGGCGUAAAGGGAGCGCAGGCGGACAUAUAAGUCCAUCUUAAAAGUGCGGGGCUCAACCCCGUGAGGGGAUGGAAACUGUAUGCCUUGAGUGCAGGAGAGGAAAGCGGAAUUCCCAGUGUAGCGGUGAAAUGCGUAGAUAUUGGGAGGAACACCAGUGGCGAAGGCGGCUUUCUGGACGGCAACUGACACUGAGGCUCGAAAGCCAGGGGAGCGAACGGGAUUAGAUACCCCUGUAGUCCCUGUCUCUUAUACC